CCCUUAGAUGUCCUGGGCUGCACGCGCGCUACACUGACGAACUCAACGAGCUUAUCACCUUGGCCGAGCUGUCUGGGUAAUCUUUUGAAAGUUCGUCGUGCUGGGGAUAGAUGAUUGUAAUUAUUCGUCUUGAACGAGGAAUUCCUAGUAAGUGUGAGUCAUCAGCUCGCGCUGAUUACGUCCCUGCCCUUUGUACACACCGCCCGUCGCUCCUACCGAUUGAAUGGUCCGGUGAGGUUCUCGGAUUUUUUCUGUUGUUUGGUUCGCUAAACGAUUGAAGAGAGAAGUUACCCAAACCUUACCAUUUAGAGGAAGGAGAAGUCGUAACA
rnacentral:rRNA from 1 species